rnacentral:rRNA from 1 species
UACGUAGGGGGCUAGCGUUGUCCGGAUUUAUUGGGCGUAAAGAGCGUGUAGGCGGCCAGGUAGGUCUGGUGUGAAAACUCGAGGCUUAACCUCGAGAUGUCAUCGGAAACCAUUUGGCUAGAGUCCGGAAGAGGAAAGUGGAAUUCCUGGUGUAGCGGUGAAAUGCGCAGAUAUCAGGAGGAACACCGGUGGCGAAGGCGGGUCUCUGG